GACGAACGCUGGCGGCGUGCUUAACACAUGCAAGUCGAACGAUGAACCCGGAGCUUGCUCCGGUGGAUUAGUGGCGAACGGGUGAGUAACACGUGAGUAACCUGCCCUUGACUCUGGGAUAACUGCGGGAAACUGUAGCUAAUACCGGAUACGACCCUCGGCGGCAUCGCCAGGGGGUGGAAAGAAUUUCGGUCAAGGAUGGACUCGCGGCCUAUCAGCUAGUUGGUGAGGUAACGGCUCACCAAGGCGACGACGGGUAGCCGGCCUGAGAGGGGGAACGGCCACACGGGAACUGCGACACGGCCCAGACUCUUAGGGGAGGCAGAAGUGGGGAAUAUUGCACAAUGGGCGCAAGCCUGAUGCAGCAAUGCCGCGUGAGUGAAGAAGGCCUUCGGGUUGUAAAGCUCUUUUGUCAGGGAAGAAACACCGGCUCUAACGCAGUCCGGGAAUGACGGUACCUGAAGAAUAAGCACCGGCUAAC
rnacentral:rRNA from 1 species